UUCUCGAAGUCUUCGAGAUUAUCGCGGGUGGACGACCGUUUGAAUCCAACGAAUUAUCCAAAGGCGAAGGUUUAAAAUGGAGGAAAGGACGUGACUGAAAGGUGGUGAUUUACGUUUUGGCGUUAUCGUAGGAUCAAUCGUAUUUCUUUGCAUCAGAGAAGUAGGCACUUGGUGUUAACUUACCGAAAAUCUGAGAUGGCGAUAUUAUUUUGUUUUGACUAAUUAAUGAAAGCAUCAACAACUGGACCUCAUUUAUUUCUCAGAUUUCGCAACACUCGUUUAAGUAUUGCGAAAGAUCGUUUGUAUAUUUAAAAUUUACUCGUGUUAAGGAUUUCAAAUAUUGUUUAAUUGACAGGAAAAUUAAACAUUAUCUCUUACUAAUUUGUACAUUUUUCUUUAAGAUAUAUCUCGGAGGCGCCCAACAUUUCUCUUGAAAAGUUUCGGACAAGUUUAGAAGAAAGAAAUGAAUAUUUACUUGUGAAGAAAUGGAUUUGAAAUGAAAAAUGUUUACCUUUUACCAAAUAUACUGUGAAGAUUGUGUUGAUUAAUAAACUUUUUGAACAGUUUUUGACAACUGAAAAUACUGUUAUAAACAAUUGUUUUGAACUUUUUCCGAAAGCAAACACGGAGUUGUUUCUGUCAAAUCUUAUUCAUAUUGAUUAAACUUAGAUUUAUUUUUUAAGAUAUUGUAAAGCAAUUGCUGCCAAGAAACGCAGAAGUUUCGCCAGCCAAAGUCUAAAGAAGAGGAAAAAGAAGUUUGUCUGUGAAAAUUGCGGGAAAGAAUUUUGCAGGAAGUCAAACUUUGAAAAGCAUAGGAGAAUUCACACGGGAGAAAAGCCAUUCUGUUGCCAGUUAUGUG